UCCUUAUUCCAUUUUCAUCUGCUACAGGAAUGACGGAGGGAAGAAAAUUUUGUUUUACCCAAGACAACAACAUGUUUCAGUGACACAAGAUGGUUGCCAAGCUCCGAUUUCUCCAUUUUCUGGUCGUCUGGGGUUAUAUAUUGAAGGAUCAGUUUCUCCCCCUCUUUCUGAUGUUCACAUAAGAGUUAUUGCUGAGAUAGAGAGCCAGAGUGCUUCACUUAAGCAAGGAGAUUUAGCUCUUGAAACUAGUACGGGGACAGAUGGUUUAUAUGUUGCGGGACCUCUGUAUGACGAUAUAACUUACACCAUUGAGGCAUCAAAGCCUGGUUAUCACGUAAAACCAGUUGGA